UUCGCCCUACAACUCCCUAGCACAAUACGCCAAGGCGUCAUGACGAUCGGCGCCUAAAACAAUAAUCAAUUCCAACCUCAGAAUUUAUAGUGAUAGAAUAUAUAACUUAUAUAAAAUACGUCACUACGUAGUUCGAUCCGGAAGAUCCACCACUCAGAUUUUAAAUCCAUAACUUCCAGAGGUCCACAAUAUAUCUCUAGGAUAACCUCCUAAAAUUUCAUUACCAUCCAACGGUCGGAUCUCCGUCAAUUUCCAAAACUAAGUGACGGUUAACAUUUUAUUUUAUGAACUUACAAUUCCAAUUCCGGAAGAUCCGUAACUCGGAUUCCCAAUCCGUAAGUUCCAAUAAUCCUCAAAUAUUACGUAUUACAACGUAUCAAAGUUUGGUAACGAUCCAACGGUCGGAUCAUCAAUUCACAUUUUCACCUAAUGCGAAAACUAUAAAACGUUAUUCGAACACCUAACCAACAAUCCUUAAUAACUUUCUCAUACGGUGCUCAAUUUGGGUAUAUGAAUAUACCACAGUGAUCUACUCGACGUCACCGACGUCGACAUAUUUUUAAAAUAAUUGUUUACUGUAGCACGCGCCCCCACGCGCCAAGGAAGGCACGGGUCCACGCGCCCCCACGCGCACCUUCUUCUUCCUUGGGUCGCCGGACUGGUUUUUCCGGCGGCCGUUUUUCAAAUUGCCAUAACUUUGUCAUUUCUCAACGAAAUCAAGUGAUUCAAAAACUAAAGUUUUAGCCCUUGAAUAUACAAAGAGAAUUGUACCUUGCACAACACCUAGUUCGCCGUGGUUUGGCCGGAAACUGCCUCGAAAGCCUCGGAGGUCGCCGGAAACUGGGUAUUUUUCAAAUGAGUAUAACUUCUUCAAUACUCAACGAAAUUGAGUGAAACAAAAAGGAAAGUUGUAGUACUUGACGAGACAAAGAGAUUGAUACCUACCUCGACUCCUAACUCGCCGGGUAUUCGCCGGAAAAAGCCUCGAAAGCUCCGGCCAAACUUUGAACUUGUCGAUCUCCGUGUUCUUACGUCCAAAAACUUCCAACGAAGCACUCCGAGCUUCCUUGGGACCUCACUAAGCUCGCUGUGAUCUUGUUUUAGCCUAAAUCGUAACCAUUUAAAAGAUCAUGAACAGUGCUCUUCACGGGAACUUUGAAACUAGGGUUUUCCGAAGCAAAACUUACCUGAAAUGGAUACCAUCGUGAUCGUGAAGUCUUCAGGGUUCCAAUGGUGGUCUUAUAUUCAUCGUUGGUGGAAGUUUAAGGUUGUUUUGUGGUUGGUUUGUUCGAACGGAGAAGAAGAGUGACAGAGAGAGUGAGAG
rnacentral:lncRNA from 1 species